UACGUAGGGAGCAAGCGUUGUCCGGAAUCAUUGGGCGUAAAGCGCGCGUAGGUGGCCCUGUAAGUCCGUUGUGAAAGUCAAAGGCUCAACCUUUGAAAGCCGAUGGAUACUGCAGGACUAGAGUACGGAAGAGGCGAGUGGAAUUCCGUGGUGUAGCGGUGGAAUGACGCAGAUAGUCAGGAGGAACACCAAUAGCGAAGGCAGCUCGCUGGGACGUUACUGACACUGAGGCGCGAAAGCUAGGGGAGCAAACAGG
rnacentral:rRNA from 1 species